CAACUACUCCCUCUGUCCCAAAUUUCUUGUCUUAGAUUUGUCUAGAUACGGAUGUAUCUAAUACNUCUAAUACUAAAAUGUGACUUGAUACAUCUGUAUCUAGACAAAUCUAAGACAAGAAUUUUGGGAUGGAGGGAGUACUUU
rnacentral:pre_miRNA from 1 species